rnacentral:rRNA from 1 species
UUCGCAAUGCCCGAAAGGGUGACGAAGCGACGCCGCGUGCGGGAAGAAGGCCUUCGGGUUGUAAACCGCUGUCGGGAGUUAGGAAAUGCAAGGAUGUUAAUAGCGUCUUUGCUUGACUAAGGCUCCGGAGGAAGCCACGGCUAACUCUGUGCCAGCAGCCGCGGUAAUACAGAGGCGGCAAGCGUUGUUCGGAACUAUUGGGCGUAAAGAGCACGUAGGCGGCCGUGUAAGUCGGUUGUGAAAGCCUUCCGCUCAACGGGAGAACGGCAUCCGAUACUGCAUGGCUCGAGUGCGGGAGGGGAGAGUGGAACUUCUGGUGGAGCGGUGAAAUGCGUAGAUAUCAGAAGGAACACCGGCGGCGAAGGCGACUCUCUGGCCCGUAACUGACGCUGAGUGUGCGAAAGCUAGGGGAGCAAACGGGAUUAGAUACCCCGGUAGUCCUAGCCGUAAACGAUGGGCACUAAGUAGAGGGGUUUU